GAUGAAGAACGCAGCGAAAUGCGAUAAGUAAUGCGGAUUGCAGAAUUCAGUGAGUCAUCGAAUCUUUGAACGCACAUUGCGCCCUGUGGUAUUCCGCAGGGCAUGCCUGUUCGAGCGUCAUUUCAACCCUCAAGCUCUGCUUGGUGUUGGGCCCUGCCCGCUGCGGCCGGCCCUAAAGACAGUGGCGGUGCCGCCUGGCCCUGAGCGUAGUACAUCUCUCGCUCCAGUGCCCGGUGGUAGCCUGCCAGAACCCCAACUCUCGUGGUUGACCUCGGAUCAGGUAGGGAUACCCGCUGAACUUAAGCAUAUCAAUAAGCGGAGGA
rnacentral:misc_RNA from 1 species